UGGGGAAUUUUGGACAAUGGGGGAAACCCUGAUCCAGCCAUCCCGCGUGUGCGAUGAAGGCCUUCGGGUUGUAAAGCACUUUUGGCAGGAAAGAAACGUCGCGGGUUAAUACCCCGCGAAACUGACGGUACCUGCAGAAUAAGCACCGGCUAACUACGUGCCAGCAGCCGCGGUAAUACGUAGGAUGCAAGCGUUAAUCGGAAUUACUGGGCGUAAAGCGUGCGCAGGCGGUUCGGAAAGAAAGAUGUGAAAUCCCAGAGCUUAACUUUGGAACUGCAUUUUUAACUACCGGGCUAGAGUGUGUCAGAGGGAGGUGGAAUUCCGCGUGUAGCGGUGAAAUGCGUAGAUAUGCGGAGGAACACCGAUGGCGAAGGCAGCCUCCUGGGAUAACACUGACGCUCAUGCACGAAAGCGUGGGGAGCAAACAGGAUUAGAUACCCUGGUAGUCCACGCCCUAAACGAUGUCAACUAGCUGUUGGGGGCCUUCGGGCCUUGGUAGCGCAGCUAACGCGUGAAGUUGACCGCCUGGGGAGUACGGUCGCAAGGUUAAAACUCAAAUGAAUUGACGGGGUCAUAGCUGUUUCC
rnacentral:rRNA from 1 species